UACAGAGGGGGCAAGCGUUGUUCGGAAUUACUGGGCGUAAAGGGCGCGUAGGCGGUCGUGACAAGUCACUUGUGAAAUCUCCGGGCUUAACUCGGAAAGGUCAAGUGAUACUGUCGGACUAGAGUACAGAAGGGGCAACUGGAAUUCUCGGUGUAGCGGUGAAAUGCGUAGAUAUCGAGAGGAACACCUGCGGCGAAGGCGGGUUGCUGGGCUGAUACUGACGCUGAGGCGCGAAAGCUAGGGGAGCGAACGGG
rnacentral:rRNA from 1 species